rnacentral:ncRNA from 2 species
UCUUUGCCGCCGUAUUGAGGUUGUGUUUUUAAUUUUUUAUAAACACAUUAAAAGGGAAUCAGGUGCCCUCUAACACCCAUGCUUUUACAUUUGUAUAAAAGUAUUGGAUACGAGCAGUCCUGAGCUGUACCCGCAACUGUAAGCUAUAAAGCUUGUUGUUAACUACAAAGCCACUGAGAGGAUUUUAUUUAGUCCCUUGGGAAGGUAAACAACAAGACGCAAGCCAGGAGACCUGCCUAGUAUGCUGAGUAUCA